rnacentral:lncRNA from 1 species
GUCAAAAGUUCAAAAUCAGUUUCAGUGGGCUAAAGUCAAGUUAUCAGCAAGACUGAUCUUUUCCAGAAGCUCUGAGGGAAGAAUCCAUUUCCUCCUGUUUUCAGCUUCUCCUGGCAUCUGUAUCACUUGGCCUGUGACCUCUUCCUCCAUCUUCAAAGAGGAGCAGUGAUGUGAGGCCCAAACAGUGAAGUCCUGUUGGACAGGCACAGAGAAGGUCAAAAGCCGAGGCCUGAAAGGGACACGAGCCAGAUCAGGCACAGCUGUGAAGCCACAAAGGUUUACUGCAGCCGACUGGCUGGAUCAGGACCCUGCUUUUCUAGAUAAUUCCAGCCGGCCGCAGUGCAAGCUGCUUUGGCAUGGCGUCCAUCUCCUCAAUGGCCUAGUGUGUGGACCUUCCUCUCCACUCUGGUGGGCACCUGGCCAGGAAAAGUUUUCUGGUGCCAGUUCUAACACAGGGGACCCAGGUGUCUGGGACAUUUUUAUUUUGUCUCGGUUUUGAAUGGAAAAGCGAGUGAAAGAACAAUGUGGGCACAAGUCCAGAUAGAUCAUGCUGCCAGCCUGGCAGCUCCUGGAGGAGCCUCCUGAGGCUCCAAGUCCAGACUUCUGCAGGAAACAGGCCUGGCAGGGGCUUCUGUUAGCCCAGCCCCAUCGUCAACUUGAAAGUAGGAGGUGGCCAGAAAUACCGUCACCAAAGGUUGCUCUUUUUGCCUUUCCUUGCCUACUGGGGUUCUUCGUAAUUGUCCAAGUUGCACAUUUUCUUUUCAGCGUACACCACAUCAAUAAUAGACCCAUUUCAGGAAAAGUAGAAGAAUUUUUACACAUUUGUUUUUAGUCCCAUAUUUAUCAAUCUAAAGCUUGUGUUCCCUUUUCUGUCCUCUCCUUUUCUCUCCUCUCUUCUCUCUCUCUCCCCCACUUCUCCUCUCACCCCCUGCCUCUCUCUUUCUCUUCUUUCUAUUGCAGUCAAAUAUACAUAAUUUACCAUUUUAACUAUUUUUAAGUAUAAAAUUCAGUGGUAAUAAGUACUCCUUUCUUUUUAAUUUAAACAAUUUUUUUUUUUUCCUGAGAUAGAGUUGUGCUCUGUCGCCCAGGCUGGAGUGCAGUGCCGCAAUCUCGGCUCACUGCAACCUCCACUUCCCGGGUUCAAGCAAUUCUCCUGCCUCAGCCUCCCGAGUAGCUGGGACUAUAGGCGCCUGCCACCAUGCCUGGCUAAUUUUUGUAUUUUUAGUAGAGACGGGGUUUCAUCAUGUUGGCCAGACUGGUCUCAAACUCCUGACCUCCUGAUCCACCCGCUUCAGCCUCCCAAAGUGCUGGGAUUACAGAUGUGAGCCACCGCACCCUGCCUAAUUUGCACUAGUUUUUAAAAUUAUUAUUACAAAAAGAAUUUCAUGAACAUGAUAAAAAAAUGUAAACACUAAGGAAGGAGCCAAAUGAAAAAAAGAAAAGAUUCUCAACGCUACCCUAUCCUCCAACAAAAUACAUUCCUUGUGAAACCUACAUGGAACAUUUUAAUGGAUGAUCCGUUGGUAACACAAAUGUAUUCACAAAUCUAUUCACUCUCUCCUUAAGGGUUAGGGGACUCAGUCCUCAGUGCAGUGGUUACUUUUCCGACCUGGAGGUGCAGGCCGGGUUUCCUUACACACCCAUGCAACUCAUGCACAUGUGUGCCUGUGAGCACACACACACACACACACACAUGCGUGUUUUUUAAAUAACUGAUUACAUGUAUAUAUACAUACAUAUAUUCAUAUAAUAAGGGUGACAUUCAUACUGCUCCAUACCUUGAUUUUUUUUCACUUAUAGUACAUCUACCCUAUAACCAUCCAAACCUAUAGACAUAUUACCCUCAUCCUCUCCUUUAAGGUUUUAGUUCAACACUGUUUCCUGCCUGCGAAUACUUCAACAUUUCUCUCCUCCCAGGUGAUUCUAUGAAGCCAUCAAGAUCUACCUCAUAUUCUGUAUUCUCCAAGCAUUUAGUGCUUCUAUAUUGCCAAUUUACUAGAUAACGAUACAGGAACCAUCAUAGCUCAGUGGAAAGGAAGGUGAACUCUUGAGUCAAUCAUUCAGGGAUCUUAUUCUCAGCUCUACCUCUAACUAGCUGAGCAAGGGGCUUAUGGAGGUCCCCUUGGACAUUUUUCUAAAUUCCUCUAGACCUAUUUUCUCAC